GAACGCUGGCGGCAGGCCUAACACAUGCAAGUCGAACGGUAGCACAGAGGAGCUUGCUCCUUGGGUGACGAGUGGCGGACGGGUGAGUAAUGUCUGGGAAACUGCCCGAUGGAGGGGGAUAACUACUGGAAACGGUAGCUAAUACCGCAUAAUGUCGCAAGACCAAAGUGGGGGACCUUCGGGCCUCAUGCCAUCAGAUGUGCCCAGAUGGGAUUAGCUAGUAGGUGGGGUAACGGCUCACCUAGGCGACGAUCCCUAGCUGGUCUGAGAGGAUGACCAGCCACACUGGAACUGAGACACGGUCCAGACUCCUACGGGAGGCAGCAGUGGGGAAUAUUGCACAAUGGGCGCAAGCCUGAUGCAGCCAUGCCGCGUGUGUGAAGAAGGCCUUCGGGUUGUAAAGCACUUUCAGCGGGGAGGAAGGCGAUAAGGUUAAUAACCUUGUCGAUUGACGUUACCCGCAGAAGAAGCACCGGCUAACUCCGUGCCAGCAGCCGCGGUAAUACGGAGGGUGCAAGCGUUAAUCGGAAUUACUGGGCGUAAAGCGCACGCAGGCGGUCUGUCAAGUCGGAUGUGAAAUCCCCGGGCUCAACCUGGGAACUGCAUUCGAAACUGGCAGGCUAGAGUCUUGUAGAGGGGGGUAGAAUUCCAGGUGUAGCGGUGAAAUGCGUAGAGAUCUGGAGGAAUACCGGUGGCGAAGGCGGCCCCCUGGACAAAGACUGACGCUCAGGUGCGAAAGCGUGGGGAGCAAACAGGAUUAGAUACCCUGGUAGUCCACGCCGUAAACGAUGUCGAUUUGGAGGUUGUGCCCUUGAGGCGUGGCUUCCGGAGCUAACGCGUUAAAUCGACCGCCUGGGGAGUACGGCCGCAAGGUUAAAACUCAAAUGAAUUGACGGGGGCCCGCACAAGCGGUGGAGCAUGUGGUUUAAUUCGAUGCAACGCGAAGAACCUUACCUGGUCUUGACAUCCACAGAACUUUCCAGAGAUGGAUUGGUGCCUUCGGGAACUGUGAGACAGGUGCUGCAUGGCUGUCGUCAGCUCGUGUUGUGAAAUGUUGGGUUAAGUCCCGCAACGAGCGCAACCCUUAUCCUUUGUUGCCAGCGGUCCGGCCGGGAACUCAAAGGAGACUGCCAGUGAUAAACUGGAGGAAGGUGGGGAUGACGUCAAGUCAUCAUGGCCCUUACGACCAGGGCUACACACGUGCUACAAUGGCAUAUACAAAGAGAAGCGACCUCGCGAGAGCAAGCGGACCUCAUAAAGUAUGUCGUAGUCCGGAUUGGAGUCUGCAACUCGACUCCAUGAAGUCGGAAUCGCUAGUAAUCGUAGAUCAGAAUGCUACGGUGAAUACGUUCCCGGGCCUUGUACACACCGCCCGUCACACCAUGGGAGUGGGUUGCAAAAGAAGUAGGUAGCUUAACCUUCGGGAGGGCGCUUACCACUUUGUGAUUCAUGACUGGG
rnacentral:rRNA from 1 species